AUGAGUUUCGGAGACCUGAAAAGCCCCGCCGGCCUCUAGGUGCUCAACGAUUACCUGGUGGACAGGAGCUACAGCGAGGGGUAUGUGGCAUUACAAGCAGAUGUGGCAGUAUUUGAAGCAGUCUCUGGCCCGCUGCCUGCCGACUCGUGUCAUGCUCUACGUUGGUAUAAUCACAUCAAACCUUAUGAAAAGGAAAAGGCCAGCUUGCCAGGAGUGAAGAAGGCUUUGGGCAAGUAUAUGGCCAGGCUAAUGUGGAAGACACUACAGGAAACGGAGCUACAGAGAGUAAAGAUGAUGACGACAUUGAUCUCUUUGGAGCUGAGGAGGAGGAGGGAAGCCAAGAAGCAAAGAGACCGAGGGAAGAACGCCUUGCACAGUAUGAAUCAAAGAGAGCCAAAAACCCUGCACUUGUUGCCAAGUCUUCCAUCUUAUUAGAUGGGAAGCCUUGGGAUGAUGAGACAGAUAUGGCAAAAUUAGAGGGGUGUGUCAGAAGCUUUCGAGCAGAUGGCGUGGUCUGGGGCUCCUCUAAGCUAGUUCCAGUGGGACAUGGAAUUUAAAAACUUCAAAUACAGUGUGUUGUUGAAGAUGAUAAAGUUGGAACCGACAUGCUAGAGGAGCAGAUCACUGCUUUUGAGGACUAUGUGCAGUCCAUGGACGUGGCUGCUUUCAACAAGAUCUAAAAUCCAUCUUGGAUCAUUGCACUUAAAUAAAAGCUUGAAA